GGGGCUGCUCACAUGUGCCAAGCGCCUCGCUCAUCUGUCCUCACAGCAGCAGCCCCGGGAGAUCAGGAUUGCUGUCAUUGCCAUUUCAUAGUGGAGGAGACUAAAGGAGGCAGCCUUUCUCCCUACUCCUGCUGCCCUAGAGAAAUGGAAGAGUGGGCAGAGGGGGAGUGAUAACCUAACGGAAACGAACGACCUAAGCAGACACAGACGAGAGACACUGGCUGACUCCAGAAGAGAGAGAGGCAACACAAGGCUGAAAGGCCAAGCCAACAAAGGGAGAGGAACCAGAAUCUUCUGCCGGUGCUCAUGGAGUUUAUGAAUACAAGGCAUUAAAGUGCUGGCAAGAAGGAGGCCACAGCCGGCAGGCAGAGCCAUGGCGGCAGAAGAGGACCUGAGCAUCUGAAGAUUCUCACCGCAGCCCUGGUGUCCUGGAAGAGGAGCUCCCUUCUGGAGAGGGAGGGCUGGGGACAGGGCUGCUCUCCCCCUGUGAGGGUUGACAUCGGCUGCCAGGCCCCGGGCUGAGGGUUGGGGCAGAUGGUGUUUCCUCCACGGUGUGUGUGGGCCUGGGCCCCACUGCUCAGGGAGGCAGUGGAAUCCGUCCCUCUCUGAGCAGACAGGUGGGGCAUUCACCAGAUUCCACCCUAAAGGCCAGAGCUCAGGGGAGGUGCGCGCACUGGGAAUGUAUUACUCGCAAAGGGAUGUGCUGUGGGUGGGGGACUUGCCGCAGAGGGGGCUGACUCUUGGAGGAGGCCGGGUGUCUUUAGAUGUUCGCUCUCUGGCGGAAGACCGAGGCGGUUUUCCAGUAGAAGGCCCUUCCUUCCCGACACCCCCACUCCUGCCAGUGCGCAUUUUUGAAGGGGCACGGGGAAUGCAAGUGGUGCCUGAUCAUUUCAGGUGUCUGAAAGGCUGUUGGCCGCUGAGGAGCAACACAAACCCCACCUGUGGGGGGCCUCAGGGUCAGCCCCAUACUGAUAGAAGCAGGUGGUGCUUCUCGAUGGGCGCGGGCGCGGUGGCAGAGAAACCCAAGAAGUUGCAGCCGCGCCCCUCCUUGUCUGGAGUGAUGGGGGAGGGAGGAGAGGCGCAUCCUGUCUCUGCUCCCCAGCUGUCUGAGGCAGAUCGACUGGAGUCCAUCUGGCUGUCCCCCUCACCCCCCACCCCCGACCCAGGCUUGCCUCCCACCCUGGGACGUCAAUGCCAUUGGGUCCUGGCUGAGACCUUAGCGGCCUAGAUGAGGGGCAGCUAAGUCAAUGCACACCUGGGGCUGAGCUGCGUCCUGGGGUGCCGGGGCCCAAGAGCACCAGGUGGACGUCUGUGGGGCUGCACUGUCUUUUCCUAGGCCCCGUGUGAUGGUGGCCACGUGCUGUUCUGGAAGUGCCAUCAAGGGCUCCCCCACCUUCUCCACACCUUGCUCUCUUGCCAGGUCCCAUCCAUUCCUCGUCACCAUCCGUGUACCAGGUUACUGCUACUUUGGAAAGGUAUUAUUGAUUAUAUAGAAGCUUGAGAGAAAUCUUUGCCUAUUUUAUAUUUUGCUUGUAUUUUCUAAGCCUUCAGCCCUAGAGUCCAAGUCUUGGGGCCGAGCAUCCUUAAAAACUCUAGAACCAUGAGCCCCAGGGGCCCACAAAUCCUUAGGCCUGGGCCCUGUGGAGCUGCUCUGUCUCUGGUUGAAGGCAGGGCCUCCUUCCUGGCAGAGAGGCCUAUCCUAGCCAGGAGGAAUGAACGGUUAGGGGACUUAGGAGAAGGAUGGUGAACUUUCUUUUAAGUUCUCUCAAUUCUGGCAGGAGGGCUGGGGACAAAGACCAGCCUCUUUGAUGUAGGGGUUUGGGGUGUUGAGGGGGGGAUUAGGAUCCUAGCAGCCUCUUGCCCUUCCCACCUGAGCGCAAAGAAUAGGCUCCUACACUCUGCGGUCUCGGGGCCGCCUCGUUCCUGCCACCUCCCUCUGCCCACAUAGCACGUUGUAUAAAUAUUUACACCCCCAGGCUGGCAGGAAUCUUUCUCUAGCCACUUCCCUGGUCUCUGGGAGAGCUCUUUCUCUCACUGAACAGCUGCAACAGAUCUGGUUGCCUUUGGUCGGACAAGGGCAGGCCCUGGUUUGGGGGCCCCUGGUCCCCACAGGGUGGAGGGUGCAUUUGGCAGGAGAAACUCAUCUUGGGAGAAGUCACAGGGCUGUGGCAAAGGUCCAUCCUCUCUCCCGCUGCCUAUGGGCGACCCUCCAAGAGUUGUCUGAUCCCUGUUCUGGCUGGGAAGGUGAGUCCUGCUUCUCAGAGGAACAGCUCCCCAGGGCGGGGUUGGUCCCACUCCGGGCUGGAGGAAUAAUUCCAAAGCCAACUGGCUGGUGCUGGGACAAAAGAGAAACUUAGUUUCCUCGUGAG